rnacentral:piRNA from 1 species
UACACCACAGGGUGCUUUUUGUGAGCACAAGC